rnacentral:rRNA from 1 species
ACGUAGGGUGCAAGCGUUAAUCGGAAUUACUGGGCGUAAAGCGUGCGCAGGCGGUUCGCUAAGACUGAUGUGAAAGCCCCGGGCUCAACCUGGGAAUGGCACUUGAGACUGGCAGGCUGGAGUGCGGCAGAGGGGGGUGGAAUUCCAGGUGUAGCAGUGAAAUGCGUAGAGAUGUGGAGGAACACCGAUGGCGAAGGCAGCUCCCUGGGCCGAUACUGACGCUGACGCACGAAAGCGUGGGGAGCAAACAG